AUGGAAGGGGGUAGCCAGCUGGGGGCGUGCCUUCCCAGCCUCUACGCGCUCGAUCCGUACGCAUCCCCUCCCCUCCUCGCUCCAUCGCCGAACCAGCACAAGCUUCACCAGCUGCCGCCGGUGCUCCAAGAACAGCCCGGGGUCCACGGCGUGAUGUUCUCCUCGGACCAUGGCGGGGGCCUGUACCCGCUGCUUCCGGGGAUCCCCUUCUGCCACUCCGCCGCCGCCUGCGAGAAGCACACCGGGUUCGCGCCCUUGGGCAGCACCGGCGAGGCUGGCACAUUGGCGGCCAGACAAGGCAACGAGAUUGCUAGUGCUACUACUACCACCACAGCCAGCUGCCAUGGCCCGAGCUCAUGGUGGAAGGGGGCAGAGAAGGGGAAGAUGAAGGUAAGGAGGAAGAUGAGGGAGCCGCGGUUCUGCUUCCAGACCAGGAGCGAAGUGGACGUGCUGGACGACGGAUACAAGUGGAGGAAGUACGGCCAGAAGGUUGUCAAGAACAGCCUUCAUCCCAGGAGCUACUACCGGUGCACCCACAGCAACUGCCGCGUGAAGAAGCGCGUGGAGCGGCUGUCGGAGGACUGCCGCAUGGUGAUCACCACCUACGAGGGCCGCCACACCCACACCCCCUGCAGCGACGACGACGUCGGCGGCGACCACACGGGCAGCUGCGCCUUCACCUCCUUCUGA
rnacentral:rRNA from 1 species